ACCAACUGUGGAGUCCCAUCAAUUGCGAUCAUUUGCAACGAUCAUACUAAGAUGAUGUCAGCAACUUUAAAUGUCAGACAUUCAUGAAGGAAGCACACAUCUUCAGAUCUGAGGUAUGACUUUCGAAAUAUUUCUUUCACCUGAUUCUCAGACUCAAAACUAAGAGGAUAGUGUUAUGAUGGAUACCAUGAGUACCUCAGAUCAACGUGACAACCAUGGGACACCUC
rnacentral:lncRNA from 1 species